rnacentral:rRNA from 1 species
GACGAACGCUGGCGGCGUGCUUAACACAUGCAAGUCGAACGGAAAGGCCCUGCUUUUGUGGGUUGCUCGAGUGGCGAACGGGUGAGUAACACGUGAGUAACCUGCCCUUGACUUUGGGAUAACUUCAGGAAACUGGGGCUAAUACCGGAUAGGAGCUCCUGCUGCAUGGUGGGGGUUGGAAAGUUUCGGCGGUUGGGGAUGGACUCGCGGCUUAUCAGCUUGUUGGUGGGGUAGUGGCUUACCAAGGCUUUGACGGGUAGCCGGCCUGAGAGGGUGACCGGCCACAUUGGGACUGAGAUACGGCCCAGACUCCUACGGGAGGCAGCAGGGGGGAAUAUUGCACAAUGGGCGGAAGCCUGAUGCAGCAACGCCGCGUGCGGGAUGACGGCCUUCGGGUUGUAAACCGCUUUCGCCUGUGACGAAGCGUGAGUGACGGUAAUGGGUAAAGAAGCACCGGCUAACUACGUG